AGGCGACGAGGGGAUUGGCCACAACAGAUACCUAAUCUUAUUACGAGUCUAAUAACUUUAACUAUUAACUUUCCUAACAACAUCAAAAGAUCUCAAAAUUUUUUUUUAUAAAAUUUAAAUUCUCUUAUAUUAACUAAUAUAAGUUUUUCUAAGAAACUGGGCAAACAAGCAGGUGGUAUGUUGCAUUGAGAACCAACGUGGGUGCCCAUUCAGGGCUC
rnacentral:lncRNA from 1 species